rnacentral:rRNA from 1 species
CGGCAUUCUGAAGGAAUGUCAUCCAACUUGGUUGGAGGCUAACGCAGGGAACUGAAACAUCUUAGUACCUGCAGGAAAAGAAAAUAAAUAAUGAUUCCCCUAGUAGUGGCGAGCGAACGGGGAUUAGCCCAAACCACCCAUGUUACGGCAUGUGUGGGGUUGUAGGACCACGCUCUCGCAAGACAGUUAUUGAGAAGAAACGACUGGAAAGUCGUGCCAUAGACGGUGAUAGCCCGGUAUUCUAAGGUAACCGAAGCGUAGUGGUAUCCUGAGUAGCGCGGAGCACGAGGAAUUCUGCGUGAAUCAGCCGGGACCAUCCGGUAAGGCUAAAUACUCCCGAGAGACCGAUAGCGAACCAGUACUGUGAAGGAAAGGUGAAAAGCACUUCGAAUAGAAGAGUGAAAUAGUCCCUGAAACCAUGCGCCUACAAGCGGUCGGAGCAGCUUCAGCUGUGACGGCGUGCCUUUUGCAUAAUGAACCUACGAGUUACUUUUUCCGGCAAGGUUAAGCAUCUUGAGAUGUGGAUCCGAAGCGAAAGCGAGUCUGAACAGGGCGGAUAGUCGGAAGGAGUAGACGCGAAACCAAGUGAUCUACCCUUGGGCAGGUUGAAGGUUAGGUAACACUAACUGGAGGACCGAACCGAUAAGCGUUGAAAAGCUUCCGGAUGACCUGAGGGUGGGGGUGAAAGGCUAAUCAAACUUGGAGAUAGCUCGUACUCCCCGAAAUGCAUUUAGGUGCAGCCUUGAGAGUUACUAAUGUGAGGUAGAGCGACUGAUAAGAUGCGAGGGCUUCACCGCCUAUCAAGUCUUGAUAAACUCCGAAUGCGCAUUAGUUCUAUCUCAGGAGUGAGGGCAUGGGUGCUAAGGUCCAUGUCCUAAAGGAGAAGAAUCCAGACCAUCAGCUAAGGUCCCCAAAUAAACACUAAGUUGAACUAACGAAGUCAGAUUGCUAAGACAGCUAGGAUGUUGGCUUGGAAGCAGCCAUUCAUUUAAAGAGUGCGUAACAGCUCACUAGUCGAGGAGUUUGGCGUGGAUAAUAAUCGGGCAUAAGUGUUUUACCGAAGCUAUGGGAUCCUAACGGAUCGGUAGGGGAGCAUUCCACUCAGCGUUGAAGGCGAAGCGUGAGCUUUACUGGAGCGUGUGGAAAAGCAAAUGUAGGUAUAAGUAACGAUAAAGGGGGUGAGAAACCCCCUCGCCGCAAGACUAAGGUUUCCUGAUCAACGCUAAUCGGAUCAGGGUUAGUCGGGUCCUAAGGCUCAGCCGAACGGUGAGGCCGAUGGCAGAACAGGUUAAUAUUCCUGUACUACCUAUAGGAGUGAUGUGGAGACGGAGGAGUGACAACGCCGCGGACUGACGGAAUAGUCCGUUAAAGGGUGUAGAUGUUGAUUAUCCCAGGCAAAUCCGGGAUAAGAGUCGAACCUGACAGUAUACCAAUUUCCUCGGAAAACGGUAAUAGUGCGUGUAAACAUACUCCCAAGAAAAUCCGCUAAACUUAAUCUUAUAGGUACCCGUACCGUAAACGGACACACGUAGUCGGGUUGAAUAUACUCAGGCGCUUGAGUGAAUCACGGUUAAGGAACUAGGCAAAUUGACCCUGUAACUUCGGGAUAAAGGGUCCCUACCCGGUGACGGGAGGGCGCAGAGAAUAGGUCCAGGCAACUGUUUAACAAAAACACAGGGCUGUGCAAAAUUGAAAGAUCACGUAUACAGCCUGACACCUGCCCGGUGCUGGAAGGUUAAGAGGAGAUGUCAUCGCAAGAGAAGCAUUGAAUUGAAGCCCCAGUAAACGGCGGCCGUAACUAUAACGGUCCUAAGGUAGCGAAAUUCCUUGUCGGGUAAGUUCCGACCUGCACGAAUGGUGUAAUGAUCUGGACACUGUCUCAACCGUGAGCUCAGUGAAAUUGUAGUAUCGGUGAAGAUGCCGAUUACCCGCGAUGGGACGAAAAGACCCCGUGAACCUUUACUAUAGCUUAACAUUGAAUUUGGGUAAUUGAUGUGUAGGAUAGGCCGGAGACUUUGAAGCAGGCACGCCAGUGUUUGUGGAGUCGCUGUUGAAAUACGGCCCUUUGGUUAUUUGAGUUCUAACUCGCUGAUGCGAGGACACUGUUUGGUGGGUAGUUUGACUGGGGUGGUCGCCUCCAAAAGCGUAACGGAGGCUUCUAAAGGUGCCCUCACGCCGAUUGGUAACCGGCGGUAGAGUGUAAUGGCAUAAGGGCGCUUGACUGGGAGACUUACAAGUCGAUCAGGUAGGAAACUAGAGCAUAGUGAUCCGGUGUUUCCGUAUGGAAGGGACAUCGCUCAAAGGAUAAAAGGUACUCCGGGGAUAACAGGCUGAUCCCUCCCAAGAGCUCAUAUCGACGGAGGGGUUUGGCACCUCGAUGUCGGCUCGUCACAUCCUGGGGCUGGAGAAGGUCCCAAGGG